rnacentral:lncRNA from 1 species
CUUUCCUAUGGGUUCAUUUGGAGUUCUGCAUCUGAUGCAUGAUUCCUUUUUUUUUUUUUAAACUGGUUGGAGGGUAAAAGGGAUUUGGAGACAACAGAAGCUGCCAUCUUGUUGGUCUUGUGACCUGGAAAGUAAUAGCGUUUUCAAUCCCUUAAAUGUGUACUUUACCUCUUACUCCCAUCUUCACAUCCAUUUUGAAUGCGACACAAAAGUACAAGUGGAAUAAACUUCAUAACUCUGAAAUGAUUUUAAUUAUUUAGAGCACUAAUAUGUUGUUUAAAAUUGUUACCUGUCAACAUUCAUGUUACUUCCCAUUCUAGAAAAUGGCGUAAGGAAGCUCUAGGAAAAAUGAGCUGUGGUUUCCAAAAGUUGAAGGAAUUUUGAGCAGCCAACAGGAAGAAGAACAGCCCUUCUGUCCUAAAAUCUUUCUCUUUCAAUUGCAUUCAGUACAAUUCAUUGACAGACAUAACACUGUGGUAAGCAGGCCCAAAGUUUGGCUGAGACAGAAUCAAAUCCCUUUUGGAGGAAGGCUUUUCAGUAUACAAAUAUUCCAUUACUCUAAUAGGCUUCAAAGUAAGGAAGUAAUAUGCUGACUCCCCUUUUUGUUUUUUCCUACAGUAAUGUUCUCUGCUGCAUCAGUCUGAUGGCAGGUGACUCUUAACUCUUGAAGGCUGUGCCCAGAUACUUCCAAGCUGGUCAGCUUCGAACGGGAGCCUGGUGGUCAUCUGUUGACCCAGGACCUCAAGUGAAACUUGAAGAGGCUCAGGAUAUAUUGUUCAGCAAUAACAACUCAAGGAGACAGUCCUGCUAAGGCAGAGGGGAGAUCCAGCCCAUGCAUUCUAGAAAUUUUUGUCACAGUAAAUAACAAGACAUUUGUGAAAAAGGAAAUGAGAUUUAGCACCAGAGUCUUAAUUGUGAAUGAAUCAGAACUUGUCAAGGGGAAAGACGAGAUGGUUUUGCUGUAUGAGAAAUACAGACUGCCACCUUGGACUUCAAAGGGCUCUUGCUGCUGUUUCUGUGCAAAGGUAAAGUGCAAAUGGGGUAGGGGAGAGGCACAUUUUUAAUCAGCAUGUAUUUGUCAAAUUCAGGACUUUAGCUGGGAGCAAUCUACUUCUUGUUGCUGGCUGAAUAUAAAAGUAAAAAUUCUACCUGAGUUAAAUGUAUGAGUGCUUUCAAAGUUCACAUGGGCAGAUUGGCAGUUUGGAAUCAUUCUUCCCCAAGGAGACUUCAUGGAACACUACAGUAAUUCUUUCAAAUUUUCCUAUUUGCCAGCCCACAGUUUGAGAGACAAUCAGCUGAGCUUGGCUUUUCCAUUCUAGACUUAUCUAUUAUCUUCUCAAAUGUGAAAAGGACCUUCUUGGAUGUGACGAG